GUUGAUGCGGCGCAUCAACUAACCCUGAAUCUGAUCUAAGGGUUAGUUGAUGCGGCGCAUCAACUAACCCUGUAUGUGAUCUUUGGGGUUAGUUGAUGUGGUGCAAUCAACUAAGGGGUUAAGGUGAUGUUGUUGUAAUUGUUGAAAGUUUAAUAUAAUUAUUGUUAAAAGUUUUAAAUCUGUUUUUAAAAAUUGUGGAUUUAUAAAAAUUAGAUUUGUGUGCCAACCUUUGAUUAAAAAAAAAAUAUUCUAUUUAUUUUUAUUAUGCAAGUAGAACCUUUAAGAAAUAAAAAAAUUUAAUAAUCAUUGAAUCAUGAAUGAAUUAUUUUGUAAUUAUUCUUAAACGCAUCGUAUUUUCCAUACAAAUAAACAAGCACUACUGUACAUGUAUAGCCCACUGAACUGUUUACAGCAGACGUGUCAAAAUGACGUCACAACACAAAUCGUCAUAGCGCGUGAACUUAAACGCAGUGCAAAAGGCCUUCAUCAUAAAUUUGGGAAGUCACAGAUCUAGAUCUAUAAAUUUUGACAUUUUUUUUUUCAUUUUAUCAACAAUUUAUUUGAAAAAUUGUUAUGCGGGAGAUUAUGUGUACUAGUAUUUGCCGGGAAAAUAACGAUUAUCUGAGGUGGGUCACAGCUUGAUCACAGGUUUACUUGUGUCAAAGUCAGAAUGAUGUUUCCAGUAUACUGCCCUCAAAAGCCAUGGUAGGGUUUCCAGUAUACUGCCCUCAAAAGCCAUGGACCAUGGUAGGACAGUAUUUAAGUAGCACCAGUACAUAGAAUUUUGAAAUUGAGUGUAAACUGUAAUUACACGAAGAGGUGAAAUUUUCAACAAUGUCAUGCCAUUCCAUUUCACUGAACUUACAUCAUGAGCUUACAUCAUAUGUAGAGGCAGUUAUGUCUUUUCAGGAUGGAGUGAGUUACGCCUUGGAUACUGGAAAACAUGUGGCUAUUUCCAAAAGAACUGUUGGUGCCUCAUAUCAAUGAGAGAGCCUGACACUGUCACAUAUUGGACAUAAAGUAGUGCAGUGCCUGACAAAUUAGCCAUAACUUGUCACUUGUACCAGGAGGAUGAAAUUGAACUUUACAAAUCCAAUGUCAGAAAUUACAAGACUUUUGAAAAACCUACACAAUGGGGGAAAAGUUAAUUGCGUAUAUCUUAAAAAUUACUUGAGAGUGUGUAGCUUCUUACAAUUCUGACAGUCAAGAUCUCAUUGAAUUAAAUGUCCUUUGGGACAAUGUCGAUAAUGUUUUAUAGUGAUUGAAAAAACAAUGCAGCAACAAGCAAUUACCUAAAAUUAAUUUUAAGUGAAGAUCUCCUUAUGCAGUAUUCUACCUUUUGAUGCUUCCUGAAAACAUUUGCAAAGCAUAUAGUUGCCGCUUUGUCCUUCUUUAAUUAUGUCGCAAUUAUGUCCUACAGUUUUUCCUUUUAACUUUAUUUAUUGACCAAUAUCUUUCAUAUUUGAUAGGUAGAUACUUUUUAUGGUCCUUUUAGUAACUCUGUGCGAGUUUGAGAUUACUAGGGUAAAGGUCACAAGUGCAAAGAAUAUUCUACACUUGCUUGAACAACCAUUAUUAAUUGACAAAAAAGCAUUUCAUGUUUGGUAAGAACAUUUCUUCUGUAGUUCUCUAACUUAAGUUGGGGUUGUUGAGGUCAAUUGCAAGAAUAAUAGAGAUUUUACAUUUUCCUUCACAUACUCAGUUUAGUGUUUGGAAGCAUUCAUUGCCAUUUCGCACACUGUCUUAAUUUAUUACCUGAAUUAUUCCAGGAAAGGUAGAAUACUGUUAUUUUCUGAUGUGAAUUUUGACUGAGUAAGGCCUUUAGUGUAGCAGUUUUAUAAAUUUGUUGUCAUAGAAAAGAUAGGUAAUAUUGUUGAGAAUUUAGGACUUUUAUAAUGUCAAAUGCAAUAAAGGAACACAGCAGAAACCGAAUACAUUGUACCAGGAGAUGAACUCUUUGUUUAAUGUGUUUUUUAGUUCAGUCUGGCAAGAUUUUUCAAUUUAUUUUUGUAACAAUGUAAACUUUGUUUCUUAGCUCACCUCAGCACAAUGUGCUCAUGCUGAGCUUUUGUGAUGGCUUUUUGUCUGUCAUGCAUUAUAACCAGUUACUAAAAAAAUUUUUUCUGAAAACAUGACUGUAUUUGUAUUUGGACCAAUCUUCACAGGAAAAUUCCAUAGGUGGUCUCUUAUCAAAGCUGUCCAAAUGUUUCCAGUUGGUUGCCUAUGUGGGUCAUAGAAACCAAACAACAAAGGGGUUUUAAAAUGCAUGUGUCGAAAUAUUUUCUGGCCAAGAGUUUUAUUGUUUGGUUUGUUGUAUCAUUUAAAGGAGCUCUACCAAAGUUGUUAAAACAAAUUACAAUUAUUUUUUUUAUGUCGCCUUGAAAAGGUGAUAUAUAGGGGUUACUUUUGUCAACCACGUCAUUGUCGGCGGCCCCUAAAGUUUGUCCUGAGCUUUACUCAGUCACAAUAAAUCUGAUUUACUUCAAACUUUGUGUGCAUGCUUCUUUUAAUAACCCGAAGUGCAGUGCACAAGGACCGGUACUCUGCACUUCUUAAUUUUUGAGUAUUAAUUAAUUUUCAUAUUUAUUUAUUUUGUCAGGGCUAUUUCUCUUCAAUUAUAAAAGCUAUGGACUUGAAACUUAAUAGGAUGAUAGACCUCAUUAAGGAGAAGUGCAGUGCACAAGAAAUGGUACUCUGCAUUUCUUAUUUUUUGAAUUAUUGCCAUUUGUUGAUUUUCAGACUUUAUUUUUGUCCGGGCCAUUUCUCAUGAUUUAUAAAAGCUAUGGGCUUGAAACUUCAUAGGAUGAUAGAUCUCAUUAAGAAGUGCAGUUUACAAGAGAUGGUAAUCUGCAUUUCUUAUUUUUUGAGUUAUUGCCCUUCGUUGAUUUUCAUACUUUAUUUUUGUCCGGGCCAUUUCUCAUGAUUAAUUAUUUCUCAUUAUAAGAGCUAUGGGCUUGAAACUUCAUAGGAUGAUAGAUCUCAAUAAGAAGUGCAGUGCACAAGAACUGGCACUCUGUUUUUCUUAUUUUUUGAGUUAUCGCCCUUUGUUACUUUUUAUACUUUAUUUUUGUCCGGGCCAUUUUUCCUAAACAAUGAAAGCUAUUUACUUGAAACUUCAUAGAAUGAUAGAUCUCAUUAAGAAGAAGUGCAGUGCACAAGAACUGAUACUCUGCACUCCUUAUGUUUUGAGUUUUUGUCCUUUAUUUAAUUUUCAUACUUUAUUUUUAUCCUGGCCAUUUCUCCUAACCUAUAAAAGCUUUGGGCAUGAAACUUCAUAGGAUGAUAGGUCUCAUCGAGAUGAAGUGCAGUGCACAAAAACUGGUACUCUAUGGUUUUUAAGUUACUGCAUGCUCUUAAGGUCAGUUAGUAAAAGGUCAGUCACUCUGAGUCACUUUGGUGUUGUCCACUAAAGACAUGUAUAACAUAUAAAAGAUGGUGCGAAUAGUCAGCUUUUAUUAUCAUUGACUUGUCUAACCAACCAAAUUGUUUAUGGUAAAUCUUCUUAAUAACCAAUAGGCCAAAUUUCAUCAAACUAUCAAUUUUUGUAUAUAGCAAUGUAUAUUGGACCAUAACUGUGAUUAUUUAAUUCAUACCCAACAGGUCAAAAUUGACCCUGACCCUGGACAAGUAAGUUUUACAAAGUCUUAUAUAUAUGGGUGCAAGAAUACCUGAAUUUACUAUAAUAUUUAUAGGUUUUCUUUAGGAAGUAUACUUUAAGGAGUAUUAAAUAACCUGAACUUUAGGCAAAUACCUGAAAACCUGUACCCACAUUAUGACAUAUAUAUAUAUAUAGGAAGUCCCCCAAUGCUUAGAAAUUAUAUAUUUUGAGUGAAGCAUGUUUAGUGGACAACUACCAAGUUUUUCCUAACCAUGGCUCUUCUGUCUACUUUUCAUAUACUUAUAAAACCUAUAAAAUUCUUCUCCAAGACAAGGCCUUGUGCUUUUAUAUUUAGUUUGUGACAUUUUCUAGUUAAGAAAAGUUAUAUUUUUGCUAAAAGGUGAGCGAAUGUGGGUUAUAAUUAUGACCCUGUUCUAUUUACAAUUGGUUAAAAAAAAAAGAAUUUGAUUAUUGAAAAACUAAAAUGUUAAAGUAAAUUUAUGUGUAAAUAAAUAUAUAGAAAGCUAACUAAA